GCUUCAGUCUUGUGUGGCUUCCUUCCCCCUUCCAUUUCCUUCCUCAGGACUAACUUUGUUGAGCCUCCACAAUGAGAUGUGGACUGAGUUGGAUUUUUAUUUUGUCCAUUUUUCAAGGUGUCCAUUGUGAUAUUCAGCUGGUGGAGUCUGGGGGAGAUGUGAGACAGCCUGGAGGAUCCCUGAAACUUUCCUGCAAAGCUUCUGGAUUCGACUUCAGUAGCUAUUGGAUGAAUUGGGUCCGCCAGGCUCCAGGAAAGGGGCUGGAGUGGGUCUCCAGUAUUAAUGGUGAUGGCAGUAGCACAAACUAUGCAGACUCUGUGAAAGGCCGAUUCACCAUCUCCAGGGACAAUGGCAACAGCCUGCUGCACCUGCAGAUGAAUUCCCUGAAAGCUGAGGACACAGCCACGUAUUACUGUGCAAGAGACACAGUGCGAGAACAAAGCAUGAGACUAUGUAUAAAACUGCCUCUUUCAUGUAGGCUUCGAGGAUCCUGGCUUAGAGAGAGCUUAACCACAGGAGUUUACUUGCAGUCUGUGGUUUCUUCUCCUUUCCCAGACAACAAUUAUCCCAAAGGUCCUCUUUCCCUUCCUAUCUCUGAGACGCUUUCCUCUUCCUAG